rnacentral:misc_RNA from 1 species
GUUUUGAUUUGUUUUACAAUAAAUAAGGCUAGUGUAAGAGUUGCCGAGGCGGCAGGGGGGCGCGGGAUCGCACUGCAGCGCAGGCCACAGCGGCCACCAGAGCCCCCCAACCCCCUAAGCCAUUUCACAGGUGUUGUUGUUGGUAGAAUUUGUUAAUGAUCCUUCCGCAGGUUCACCUACGGAAA